rnacentral:rRNA from 1 species
GAUUAAAGGUAUUCCGGUAGACGAUGGGGAUGCGUUCCAUUAGAUAGUAGGCGGGGUAACGGCCCACCUAGUCUUCGAUGGAUAGGGGUUCUGAGAGGAAGGUCCCCCACAUUGGAACUGAGACACGGUCCAAACUCCUACGGGAGGCAGCAUG